rnacentral:rRNA from 1 species
GUGGGGAAUCUUAGACAAUGGGCGCAAGCCUGAUCUAGCCAUGCCGCGUGAGCGAUGAAGGCCUUAGGGUUGUAAAGCUCUUUCGCUGGGGAAGAUAAUGACUGUACCCAGUAAAGAAGCCCCGGCUAACUCCGUGCCAGCAGCCGCGGUAAUACGGAGGGGGCUAGCGUUGUUCGGAAUUACUGGGCGUAAAGCGCGCGUAGGCGGAUUGGAAAGUUGGGGGUGAAAUCCCGGGGCUCAACCUCGGAACUGCCUUCAAAACUCCCAGUCUUGAGUUCGAGAGAGGUGAGUGGAAUUCCGAGUGUAGAGGUGAAAUUCGUAGAUAUUCGGAGGAACACCAGUGGCGAAGGCGGCUCACUGGCUCGAUACUGACGCUGAGGUGCGAAAGCGUGGGGAGCAAACAGGAUUAGAUACCCUAGUAGUCC